UACGUAGGGCGCGAGCGUUGUCCGGAAUUAUUGGGCGUAAAGAGCUCGUAGGCGGCCUGUUGCGUCCGCUGUGAAAUCCCGGGGCUCAACCCUGGGCGUGCAGUGGAUACGGGCAGGCUGGAGGCAGGCAGGGGAGAACGGAAUUCCCGGUGUAGCGGUGAAAUGCGCAGAUAUCGGGAGGAACACCGAUGGCGAAGGCAGGUCUCUGGGCCACUACUGACGCUGAGAAGCGAAAGCAUGGGGAGCGAACAGG
rnacentral:rRNA from 1 species